AUCUCAAAGUUACAUGCCCCCA
rnacentral:piRNA from 1 species